GACGAACGCUGGCGGCGUGCUUAACACAUGCAAGUCGAACGGAAAGGCCCUGCUUUUGUGGGGUGCUCGAGUGGCGAACGGGUGAGUAACACGUGAGUAACCUGCCCUUGACUUUGGGAUAACUUCAGGAAACUGGGGCUAAUACCGGAUAGGAGCUCCUGCUGCAUGGUGGGGGUUGGAAAGUUUCGGCGGUUGGGGAUGGACCCGCGGCUUAUCAGCUUGUUGGUGGGGUAGUGGCUUACCAAGGCUUUGACGGGUAGCCGGCCUGAGAGGGUGACCGGCCACAUUGGGACUGAGAUACGGCCCAGACUCCUACGGGAGGCAGCAGUGGGGAAUAUUGCACAAUGGGCGGAAGCCUGAUGCAGCAACGCCGCGUGCGGGAUGACGGCCUUCGGGUUGUAAACCGCUUUCGCCUGUGACGAAGCGUGAGUGACGGUAAUGGGUAAAGAAGCACCGGCUAACUACGUGCCAGCAGCCGCGGUGAUACGUAGGGUGCGAGCGUUGUCCGGAUUUAUUGGGCGUAAAGGGCUCGUAGGUGGUUGAUCGCGUCGGAAGUGUAAUCUUGGGGCUUAACCCUGAGCGUGCUUUCGAUACGGGUUGACUUGAGGAAGGUAGGGGAGAAUGGAAUUCCUGGUGGAGCGGUGGAAUGCGCAGAUAUCAGGAGGAACACCAGUGGCGAAGGCGGUUCUCUGGGCCUUUCCUGACGCUGAGGAGCGAAAGCGUGGGGAGCGAACAGGCUUAGAUACCCUGGUAGUCCACGCUGUAAACGGUGGGUACUAGGUGUGGGGUCCAUUCCACGGGUUCCGUGCCGUAGCUAACGCUUUAGGUACCCCGCCUGGGGAGUACGGCCGCAAGGCUAAAACUCAAAGGAAUUGACGGGGCCCCGCACAAGCGGCGGAGCAUGCGGAUUAAUUCGAUGCAACGCGUAGAACCUUACCUGGGUUUGACAUGGAUCGGGAGUGCUCAGAGAUGGGUGUGCCUCUUUUGGGGUCGGUUCACAGGUGGUGCAUGGCUGUCGUCAGCUCGUGUCGUGAGAUGUUGGGUUAAGUCCCGCAACGAGCGCAACCCUUGUUCACUGUUGCCAGCACGUUAUGGUGGGGACUCAGUGGAGACCGCCGGGGUCAACUCGGAGGAAGGUGGGGAUGACGUCAAGUCAUCAUGCCCCUUAUGUCCAGGGCUUCACGCAUGCUACAAUGGCUGGUACAGAGAGUGGCGAGCCUGUGAGGGUGAGCGAAUCUCGGAAAGCCGGUCUCAGUUCGGAUUGGGGUCUGCAACUCGACCUCAUGAAGUCGGAGUCGCUAGUAAUCGCAGAUCAGCAACGCUGCGGUGAAUACGUUCCCGGGGCU
rnacentral:rRNA from 1 species